UACGGAGGGUGCAAGCGUUAAUCGGAAUUACUGGGCGUAAAGCGUGCGCAGGCGGCUUUGCAAGACAGAUGUGAAAGCCCCGGGCUUAACCUGGGAAUGGCAUUUGGGACUGCAAGGCUGGAGUGUGGCAGAGGAGACUGGAAUUCCUGGUGUAGCAGUGAAAUGCGUAGAUAUCAGGAGGAAUACCGAUGGCGAAGGCAGGUCUCUGGGCUGACACUGACGCUCAUGCACGAAAGCGUGGGGAGCAAACAGG
rnacentral:rRNA from 1 species